CGGGGUGAACACGGGGAGCCCGUCUCAGGUGGGAGAAAGGUGAGGGAGACGGAGGCUGAGGGGAGGCCGUGAUGUAGCUGUACUGUAGCUGAGAGACGGACGAGGAGGGAUAAAUGUCAUCGAGGCAGAGAAAGAAAAACUGUAGAUAAUUUACAGAAACUACAUGAAACAGAGACAAAAACAGAAGCAGGACAAUCAGUCAAGUCCAGCUUUAGGAGUCUGUCCGAGGACGUAAUACUGGUGUGGACAGAGGGGGGACGUCCAAUCAGGAGACAGCACUGAAGGCCUUGUCAUAAUGACAACCAUGACAUCACUGCAAGGACUCGCGCAGAGAAGACAGCGGAGCUCCAGACAGACAGCGUGGGCCACUGCUGGUGCUGCGCGCCGGCCAGAGCGCACCGGCUGCCGGAUCGAAAACGCGUGGACUACUGCGGGGGGAAAGGACGUGCGGAGCGGUGCUCGCCGGUCGGACUGUUUCACACGGCGGCACACGGGGCUCCGCGGCCGGGGAGACUAAGACUGAAGCGAGUGGAGGAGAAGGAAGAGGAUGAGGAGAGAAAGAGCAACUUGUUUGAUUUCGACAUGAGGAGGACGAACUUCCACAACUGGCAUGAUGUAACGGAGGACAUGAAGAUCUGAUGAAGACACCGGGACAUCGCUGGAAAAGAAUGAGGAGCUGCCGCUGCAGUAAUCUCCACUGUUCAAUUAGCUGCAGUGACUGGUGAUGCCUUAACACUUCAUUAACAGGAGGAGGAAGAUGAUGACGACGGUGAAACAUCAAACCAGCAGCAGAAGAAGAAGAAGAAGAAGAAGAAGAAGAAGAAGUGAUGGAGAAGGUGGUGAUGUUUCAGAGUGUGUGUGUGAGUGUGUGAGCCAUUUCCAGGUGAAGCAAACUGAAUUAAGGUGAAUCGAGCUGAACUGAUGUGAACUGGAAUGACCUGAGCACCAGUGAAUAGAAGGUUUCACACGACUCUCUGAGGAUUUGGGGUUCAAAAAAAAAAGUUGAAAGCAGUGAAACACCUUCAAAUAAAACAGGAAAAUCUGUCGUUUAUACCUGUUCUUGUUAGUGUUCUACUUUUUUUACUUUGAAUAUAUGAUAUUUAUUCUCAUGUGUAUGUUCAUAAUGAUAGAAACAAACAUGUUACUUUUCUGUAUGUAUGUAAAUGAAUGUAUGUAAGUGUUUUUCUCCUUGAUGUUCCUCAUGAAAAUGCUAUACUUUAAAUAAAAGUUAAUAGGAUAAGGUACUGGGACUGUCUUUCUCUUUUACUUUUAAGCUUUCAGUUUAAAUAUAAUAAACGUUUGGUCAUGUUGCAUUUCAUCUUCUCACUGUGACAUGUUCAUUCAAAUUUCAUCAAAUCUUUCUCUUGGCUGCUUCUGAAAAUGCUCAUGUGGCUGCAUUAUUUGGAAUAAUACUAAUAAUAGAACUUUCCCCAUUUAAGGUUUCCAAGUAUAAUAAAACAUGAACUCUGA